GCGCGAGUCGUAGGGUGCUCGCAAAAUUAUACGAAACGAAACCCGAAGGCGCAAUGAAAGUGAAGGUCGGUAGAACUGACUGACCGAGGCGGGAUCCGUCCGUUACAUCGAACCGCGGGUCGCGAGGCUCGCGGGUCGGGUUCGGCGGCGCACCGCCGGCCCGUCUCGACCGCUUCUCGUCGGCGAGGCGGAGCAAGAGCGCACACGUUGGGACCCGAAAGAUGGUGAACUAUGCUCGGGCAGGACGAAGCCAGAGGAAACUCUGGUGGAGGUCCGUAGCGAUUCUGACGUGCAAAUCGAUCGUCGGACCCGAGUAU
rnacentral:rRNA from 1 species